ensembl:lncRNA
AGUCAGGAGAAUGAAUGCUAGGGAGACAGUAGGACAUGACUAAAUGUGUUAGGCUGCAAAGCCUUCCUUAAAACUAUGUCAGAGACGGAAAGGAAUCACAACCAUGCAAAGCUGAACUAAAGCAAUGCGAUGUCUCCAUGCCAUUAGGCAGAGUAAAUUGCAAGUCAAAUCAGUGUUGCUGGCAGCACCAACUCUUUUGCUUUAAGCUGCACACAGCGGAUCCCUCAUCACACAGGUGCUCUAAGUCUGAAGCAAACAAUUCAUGCAGUCAAGGUCUACGUUGCUACUUCUGAGGUCCCGAAUGAACGGCAGUGAAUAAAUAUUGCCGAGUCUUAAUGGAAAGUCAUGUCUUACCCAAGACCAUUCCACUGCACUCAGUAUAACCAGAGAUUUACCAGCUUAACUCCCCCUCUCCGGCUCAUAGUGACAACCCACAUAGCACAGAUUUGUGAAAAUCAGAGUUCACGGUGUCUUGAAGGCAAUGGGGGAGGCAUGAUCCAGAAUACAGUCUGUGUUGCUUCUCUGCCCCUCCUUAUUUCUUUUACAUCUUCCUGUGUUCGAAUACGUCUUGAAAACCGCAGAUCUGCUCUCUCCUUCGCAUGCUUUUCACCAGAAAGAAAAGUGGAAGGCACAUGUCAGUGCCAACAGCACCAUCUUCUGUCUGCAGAGGUUAUGCAGCCUUCACUCACGCUUCCCUGAGUCCUCCAGAGAUGGGGCCGGUUGAGACUCCUGGAUCUACUGCUGGAUGUUGAGCUCUUCCUUUCGCUAGUGCUUUCGCUUCUACCCAACUUGUUCAGCUUCAUCUAAACUUAGAAGAUAUGUACACAGGUCCCACUCACGAAGAGCUCCAAGCAUGGCAUCCACCCAGCAGGAAGCUGUGUCCUCUGCAUCCCCUGCAGCCUCUCUGUCCACAGAAACCAACGUGGCUUCCCAGACAGAGCUCCCAGGGAACAUGCAGCCACUCAGGUGUAGGGUUGCAGAGAGUGCCUGAACUCUGGAACUCAAUGGACAAGCAAAUGUGGAUGAAGGUCCAUCCAGGUUGGAGGGGUCACUUAUGGUCACUUUCGUCAAGAAAAACAGAAAGGCAGUUGUUAGAGAAACACAGAAUAUAUCAAUCUGAAAGAGGAUCACCAGGAUCACUGAGUCCAACUGCCAGCUCCAAACAGAAACACCCAAAACUCAAACCCUAUGUCUGAGAGAAUUGCUCAAAUGCUCCUUGAACUCUAGCAGCCUGGGGCCAUGGCCACUUCCCUGGGGACCACUCCUGCUGCAGUUGUUAACAUACUGUUAAUACUAAGCAUAAAUUUUGCUAUUUAUGUACCAACUAGCUCAUUACAUAUUAAUGAAUGCCUUCUGGGUGUAUUCAGUGCUAGUCAGACAGGGAUAAUCUUUCUUCCCAUGACCCCUACUGUUCCUUUCUUUUUCUUGACUUCAUAUCUACCUUCCUGAUUUUUUUUCCCUUUAGCUUUCUGCAUCACGUUCACAUACUCCCUAGUCUAACCUCUCAUGAGCUGAAUUCCUCAUCCACUUGUCUGAUCUGACAAUCUGCAGUAGUGCAGUUCAAAUGUAAAUGCUGUGUUUCAGUUGAUAAGAUUUUGCACCCGUUGUGAUAAAAAUAAAGGCAAGGUGGAAUUCAGACAAUAAUGGAGAAAAACAAAGCACCUGAUAUGUUAUUGUUUUGAUUGUACACACCUUUAAAGCUUAAUUUGGCUAGGUCCUGCAUGUGCCUGGAACUUUUGGGGACUUAUUCAAGCCUGUUUAAAAGAAGUGCCAACAAUACAUCUUGACUGCAUGCUUUAGGUAACAAAUGGAAGAAUUACUAAAGACAUCAGAGUGACUGGAUAAGCAAACAAAACAUGCUAUAGCAUAGAAGAGUUCUCAGCUGGUAGCAUUCUGUUCAGUUAUUUCAUACAUCCUGUCAUUCCUCUUCUGCAAAGUGUUUUUGUGUGAGUGAAACAAGGUACAGUGUUUUACUUCACAUUUAAUUGUAUCACUUUGAAUUGUUUUCUUGAUCUUUUUCUUGAGUAGUUAUUUUAUUUGGAACGACAUACACGGCAAAGUGUUAAACCUAAAAGGAAACCUUAUUAACAAGCAGGAUUAAAAGUUGUUCCUUUUCC